UAAUCCUCCCUUCACGCUGAGAGCUCCAGGAGACAGAAACUGAGUGAAGGGAGGAGAAAUCCUCUCCUGUCUCCUCGUCGUCUUUCCUUCUUUCUCUUCUUUGUUUCUUUCUCUUCUUUGUUUCUGUCUCUUCUUUGUUUCUGUCCUUCCCCUCUGAGGUUUUCCAGAGUCGGGUGAGAGAUGGGUUGUGGGAACUCUUCCCCGGCGACGACCACCAGCCACAGCAACAAAGACGGCAGCAGCUUCAGCAACGAAGGUCGAACUGAGGCUCUGACCCAAAUAUCAAAUGACUUGCCUGAAGAUGAAAAAAGUCUAAACUAUGGAGGUGUGUAUGUGGGUUUACCGACAGACAUGAGCAACAUCCCUCAACUACAAAUCGGAGUGCUAAGAGAGACGGACUCAGACCUGUCGUCCCUCAGGAGACCGCUGUGGGGGAACGGAUUCUAAUGAAGAGCCAGCUCGUCCACUGUCCUGCCUCUGUGUGACCUGCAGGGUGCACGUGAUGGAGGGAUGAGGUCCGUCAGUGGAGAAGAAGAAGCAGAUGAAUCCCUGCAGGCGUCUUUCACACCCUCAGUCUCAUCAGGAGUCUCACAUGUGAACCAGCAGUGGAGGACGUCGUCCCUCUGCGUCCUCUGUGAGAGACACCGGCUCCUGUCAUGGCCGCCUUGCUUAUUGACUUGUGUCUUUUAAUGGACGUGGAAACAAACCAGGACUCCGUGAGAGAGACGGUUUGUUGUGAAGCUCCGGGAGGCUGCACGUUGUUUUUAAUCCCGACCACUGCCGACUCCUCUGGGAGCCUCCUGCUGGCGCCUCCUGCUGUGCAGCCGUUACACUGAAUCUCACUCAGCUGAUUAUCUCCAACAUGGCGGAGGCUGCGGUCGCUCAUUAGUGGAGCCGCUGGUCCGUCGAAAGGAAACUCAUCAACAUUCACCUCCAACAAGGAAGUUGUGUUUUCACCCGUUUGUUUGUUUGUGAGCGAGAUGUUAAACCUUGAGGACGGGUUCACAUGGAACCUGGUGGAAGGAUGAGGAAGGACUCGGUGUGAAUCUGGAUCAGAGCACGGAUUCAGGAAUUAUAUUUCUCUUUCUUUAACUUUGUGAGAUAAAGUUUUUCACCAGUUUCCUCUUUGGAACAAACCUUCCUGAGGAGAUCUGCACCGGAAUGUAAUGGAUUCUUUCCUGGGCGGUUCCACGUCCUUCCACCACUGGACUCUGAGUCAUGUUGUGUACAAACAAACAAACAAACAAGGAUGAAAACCUGACAAACUAAAACUAAAACAUUUAAAUUACAUUUGUUUUGAUCCCUGAGAAACAUUUAUACUUGGCUGGUUCAUGUCCCAUCCACACACAUGGAGCAGUUGGAGUUUAAGAGUUCACAACAAGACGUCCAUCUUCAUCUCAGUCAAGCGAAGCCCUUCCUUCCUUCUCUGAGGAGGUCUUCCUCUCCCGAGGCCAACGCCUGGUACAGCUGGGACAGUUCAUCUGGUCGCGGCGCCUUCGACUCUGGCGUGCAGGGAAUGUCAAAGUCUGAGGACGCCUGGGACUGGGACAGCUCCUCCGGCUCUGAUUGGAGGAUCAGCCCGUCGUCCUCUUGUCUCUGAGGGACGGUAUUGGUCCUCGUUUCUCCUCGUUCUCCCUCCGGGCGGAGGAUCAAGGUGUCGGGGAAACACGAGUCCAUGUUCUGGGAGGAAUGAUUGGACAAGGAGGCCGACAGGGUCAGGCUGAAGGGUUCGUGGUCGUUGCUUUCAGGAGUUUCUUCUUCUUCUUCAUCUUCAUCACUGAACAGCUCGGGCGUCUGUGAGCUGGUCAUCUUGGAGGGGGAGGGGCUGGGGUAGGAGCAGCAGGACUGUGAUUGGCUGUUCUGGCUGUCAGUCGGCAUUUCUGCAGAGAAGAAGUCCUCCCACUUUGGAAUCUCUUGGUUUUCUGCCUCCAUCUUGUUCUCUUCUUCUUUUGUCACCUCCUCCUUCAUCGGUUUCAUGUCCCCCUGCUCCUCCUCCUCCUCAUCUUCCUCUUCACCAUUGGACUCGGUGCAGUCGACGUAGUCACCUGCAACAGACUGUGUGUCGGCGACUGACGGAGGUAAAGACUCAUCCACAGAUACAGGGGGCGCUGUUCUCUGAAUUUUCUCUAAAAUCAAAUGAAGGAAAUGAAAGUUUAGUGAAAAGGACAUAGAUAUGUUUAUAAACAAUAUAUAUAUAUGAUCCUUUCUGUUUAUUUCCAUGUUAACAACUGAAAACACUGAAUGUUGAAGGUUAUUGGCUGUAAAUGAAUAUCAUCUCUCUAUGAUUCCUCUGUGGUCAGAUAGAGUAACACGGCUCUGAGUUUUUUAACAAUACGAACAAACUGAGUCAAAGUCUCUCUGCACCUUCUUCUUCUUCUUCUUGGUUCAGCCCCAUCUUCUUCCUCACUGGUGCCAGGUCCCGUCCGUCAAACAGCUCGUCAUCGCUGCCAGAAUCUCAUCACAGACAAAAAGACAACAGACAUUUAAAUAUAAAGCUGUUCAUUAUUAUUACUUUCUGUUUGGAUUCAUCGAGCAAAAUAAAGUGUUUGUUUUGCUCAUUUAUAAAGUUUAAAGAAAGACUACUACACCCACCCCCCCCUUAUUGAAUACAAGCCUCUUACAAACCAAUCAGAGUCAGAGAAAGUUCUUUAGUCCCUAAAUUACAAAAAAACAAAACUAACAGAACAAAUGAAACAAACCCAUGAAACUUCUUCAGAAUAAGAAAACUAGGUUAGUGUAAACUGGGUCUGAUCAACAAACCACUUUCUGUGUCACAUAACAUCUGGUGACCUGUAAAGUACCACAGCAACAGAGGCAGUUACACAUGUUGUUGUGGAGAACAUUGUGUGUGUUGUGGUGUGUGUGUGUGUGUGUGUGUGUGUCACACCGUUGGUAGUUUGCUCCAUCCUGCUGCGUUUGAGAACUCCCAGAGGUUUAUAUACGAACGCUGUCUGAUCAGAUUGGUCCCUGCACAUCAGCUUCAACCUGAAGACACAGACACAACGAUUAACUGGUGAUUCUUUAAUUUAUUAUUUAAACACAUCUGAGACUCUGGUUCUUCCAACAGAAUUAGGUCACGUAGUUGAAAGUUUUUAUGUUUGACUGGUGGAACUCGGGGGAAGUAAGCAGGAGUUGUUUGAGACUGAAAACCGUGCAGAGGAAAGAUAAAGAAACACGAUAACUAUGGAUCAACUGUGAACUUCACUCACAUCUGAGUGACCUCAGUCAGAGUCCGGCCCAUAGGGAUCACACUGGGAUGGAUGUUGACCGGCUGAAGAUACGUCAGAAAGUCUUUCAGCUGAAAACGAACAACAUCACUGGAAAUAUGAACAUGUGGAUAAAACCAGAAUUAAGAAGGAGGAGGAGUGUGUAUAUAAUGUUUAUUUGUAACAUGAAAACCUGUUUGUCAGAGUGAUAUUUCAAAUGUACCUCAGCGUAGGAGGAGUGGAAACUGAAACAGGCUCUGUAGGAAAAGGCUCCUGUUCUGAAAAGAUUCAUAAAUAAAAGAUAUAAUGCAA